rnacentral:rRNA from 1 species
CAGUCGCCGCGGUAAUACGAAGGGUGCAAGCGUUAAUCGGAAUUACUGGGCGUAAAGCGUGCGUAGGCGGUGAGUUAAGUCUGCUGUGAAAUCCCCGGGCUCAACCUGGGAAUGGCAGUGGAUACUGGCAAGCUAGAGUGUGUCAGAGGAUGGUGGAAUUCCCGGUGUAGCGGUGAAAUGCGUAGAGAUCGGGAGGAACAUCAGUGGCGAAGGCGGCCAUCUGGGACAACACUGACGCUGAGGCACGAAAGCGUGGGGAGCAAACAGGAUUAGAUACCCGAGUAGUCCCUGUCUCUUAUAC